CGGUUGCUACUUUUAACAAACUGCGAUCAGCGCCCAUUAUCAACCUCGGACCGCCAUAUGGUAUCCACGAACGCAUAAGAGGUUGGUGUUGCCAUAGUAGCAAGGUUGGUAAGAAGUUACAACCUCCUGAGGUGAUGUAGGUUAACUCCACCUCGCCUGAAAACUCUUAUAUAAAUAUUUAUGUGCACAAAAUAACCUUUUUUUUAAUUGUUUACAAGCUUUAUCAGCAAGGAAGCAUGGUUUUGUGAUGCAUAAAGUGAAAUCUUGCAUGGAACACUGAAAACAAAUGAAGAGGCUGAUUUGUCCCACACGUGCGCACUCCCCCCAUUCCCCCGCCCACCAACAAGUGUGUACUGUGAUUACGUAUUGUUUUCGUCGUUUCUUGUGCAUAUAUUGGAUAUUUUCUUAACAUACUACCACGUUCGUGCCUUGAGGCAAGAAAGGCGGUUUCAGGAUCGCCUUGACCCCUUGGCAUUGAGUGAUAAUGAGCUCAUGACCAAAUAUCGCUUCCCUCGGCUGACCUACUAAUCCUCUUGUUUGAGGAGAUGCAGCCUCAGCUGGAGAGAAGGACAAGGCAUAGCCAGGCAUUACCAACUCACACCCAGGUUUUGCUGGCCCAGAGACUGUUUGCCAGUGGGCCCUUCCAAAACGUCAUUGGAGACACUGCAGGACCUAUGCAAGCAAGUGUCAGCAGGGUCUUCAAGUGUGUGUGUGCACCGUGUUGAGUGAUAAUCGGUGCAGGAAAUCAAGAUGCCUCCAACACACCUUGAUCAAAGGAGAACUGCACACCAGUUCUUCAGGAUUAAAAAUUUCCUAAGGGUUAGUGGGACCAUUGAUGGCAGCCACAUUGCCAUGAAGGGCCAAAGUGUGGAUGAGGCCCUCUACUUUAACUGGAAAAGGUAUCACUCCCUCUGAACAUCCAACUUGUUUGUGAUGCAAGUGAAGUGAUCCUCAGCUACUGCUCCAGAUUGCCAGGUGCCUGCACUCUUGUGGAGGUGGCUUGCAGUACAGACCCAUCAAGUGUGUCAAAAUAAUUAAUGCUUGCCUGCUCCUACACAACUGCUGCAUCAAGUUCCUGAUGACCUACCACCUCUUGAGGAUGAAGCAGUGCCCCAUGCUGAUACCAACCCUGCUGUGCUGUAGAGGGGUCAGUGUGCUCCAGGCAGAAUUGUGUGGCAAGAAAUCAUACAAAACUUCUUCCAGCAAUGCAGUAAGGAAGUGAGAUUGUCAAAGUGCCUGGGACAUGUUUUGUACAGCCAGCUGCACCAUCACCAGCUCGUCCAAGCUCGGACUAAUCUGCUGUUGGGUUUCCUGUGCUUGAGAGAGAACUUCUGAGUGAGUCUGAGUGGCCACCUGCAGUACAGUUCAGAAGCAAACAUGACUUUACACCACAAGUUACAAAUUAAGUGGUAUUUUAAGUUACAUGUCAUGCUGUGUCCUUUUACCUCAUUUGCUCCUUGGACCUUUCUGCUAUACAGUACCCAGGCUGGUGGUGUGAUGCACUUAUGGAAUCAACACUUUAUAUGCCUCAGAGAUGUAUUCCUCAAAAAAAAUAAAUAAAUAUAAUAAAAAAAUAAAAUAAAAAAUUAGGUCAAAGUAGCAAGAACAACAGACUUAGUGGCAGGAGUUGUAUAAUCAGUGUUCAUUGUACUGGAGGACACAACUGAAUACAUGUUAACAUGUUAUUCACCAUUGCAUGUAGUCAUCUAUAAUGAGCAUAAUUUGAACAAAGAUGUUCUCAUCCAGUGCAGAUGAUACACCAUUGUCAAAUCCAGAGGCCCCUGUGGACCCAGCAACACCAGCAGUGGUGUUGGAUGGCUCCAACACCACUGCUGGUGGAAGACUGUGGUCCUAGAGGCCCUGACACUUCUGGAAAAAAAAAAAAAAAGCUGUCAUUACUGCAGGUAGAGAAUAAGCUGGUAUUCUUUGAGUGAUGUUUUUAUUGACAAAUUUUUCUUUUAAUUAGCAGUCAACCUAGUCAUGUCUGUGUUUAUCACAUGGUUUUGCUGAGUUGAUGAGCAAAUGUGCAGAUAUCUACAUUCAUGAAGAUGAGUGUUGGACAUGAUGCUGCCAGCCCCAUGGAAGAUGAUGCUGUAGCACAAUUAUUGUUACAUUACAGUACUGAACUUAAAAACAGCAUUAAUUUACAAAAUGUAAUUUGACCUUUGUUAGUUUACUUAUGCAGUGUGGUGCCAUCACUUUCAGGGUAUGGCAGUCCUGCAAAUGCUGUGUGAGACAACAUCCACAGCAUGACCAACUCCACAGUAGUGUGUGUUGUCUCAUCUGGAGGCCCCCACCUGCAUGGAUAUGAAUGUUGCAAUUAUCAUCCACUUAGAAGUUCACAUGUAAAGCCAAAUCAACUUGGUGUAAAUCAUGAAUGCAUUAGAGCACAAUAAUGUUAUCUAGCACUGCAGUGGUCACUGUCUCAGACCUGACUGCCAGAGGUACUGUACAUACUCCUAUUUAUAAUCCAUUGCUUAGUUGGUUCUUGGUUAUGUUUAUUGACUAUAUGGGUAAAUUUUGUACCAGCACCAAUAAUGAAAUACAACAUGUACACAAGAGCAAA